UCCCCGCUGUCUGAGGAAGGAGAGCAGGUUACUGAGUACUCUGGGGCGCGGCGCCUCCCCCCAAGCGCGAAUGCUAGUCGUGAACAGAGAAGCCAAUUGUUGAUGACUAAUUUCAACAGGGAGGAAACUGCCACCAGACCUCUUGGAGGGCUGACCCACUGCUGAGACCCUUGAGGGCGAACUUCUAAGUCUCUGCUACUUCCAGGGAAAAGCUGCGGUGUACCCUCCUGACCAUAGGGGAUACAAGAGCCUCAAGAAUAUAUUACCUACGAUAGUUUUAUUAUCAAAUGUUGCUAUUUUAUUUCUUUAUACACCAGAUCAUAUUUCUGUUUGUACAUUCUCUGUGGAUUUGUUAACAUUGAUGUCGUUUCUUUGGCCUCUAAACUUCUAAAGAGCAAGGAUCACAUUUAGUUUAGUGUCCUCCUAAAGAUGCUGCUUUUGAUGGUAAAGACAGUGAGUGAAAAAUUCAAGCCGCUUAAAGCCAAAGCACCCCAAAAUGAAAUAAUCUUAUGGAACCCAAGGGCACAGAGAGCAACAAGAUUUCAUGAAGGACUGAAACGAGGACCUAAAAUAUGAACAGGAAGCUAAGUGGUUAUUCCCUCAAUAUCUCUUUCUUUUUCUUUAUGGUCUCAUGU